AGCAGACUCUCCCAUCACAGACCCUGAGGCCUAGGAGGGAAAAAUGAUUCUCUGGGCCAGACUCACGCCCCGUCUGCUGUGUGCAGCCUAGGGAUGUGGUGUCCUAUGUCCCAGUUGCUCCAGCCAUGGCUAAAAUGAGCCAAGGCACAGCUCAGGCUGUGUCUUCAGAAGGUGCAACACCAAGCUUUGGCAGCUUCAACAUGGUGAUGAGCCUGUGGAUGCUCAGAGGUCAAGAACUCAGGUUUGGGAAGCUCCACCUAGAUUUCAGAAGAUGUACGGAAAUGACUGAAUGUCCAGGCAGAAUUUUGCUAUAGGAGAAGAACCUUCAUGGAGAACCUAUGCUAGGGCAGUGUGGAAGGAAACACUGAGCCUCCAGAAAUUAAUCAAUUACAAUUCAGGUUUUUCCACUCCAGCCUAGAUUCUAGUGGAGGAGGUUUCUUCUCAAGACUUUAUCUCUGUAUUCUUACAAUAAAAGAAGAUAAAGGAAAAUAUUAAGAAAAUCAUAAAGAAGUAAAAAUAUAUUUACUCUUCAUUAAGUGAAAGUGUAACAUCAUAAAGACCUUCACCCUCAUUGGCUUCACACUGAGUAGACUAAGAAAAAGGAGAAAGAGGAGAAAUGGUCUUGCUAUCUCAGCGGUGGCAGAGAUGGAAAAGGUGGAGGAUGUGGAAGGGGAGGCAGGAGAGGUAG
rnacentral:lncRNA from 10 species